rnacentral:rRNA from 1 species
GAUGAACGCUGGCGGCGUGCCUAAUACAUGCAAGUCGAGCGAACAGAUGAGGAGCUUGCUCCUCUGACGUUAGCGGCGGACGGGUGAGUAACACGUGGAUAACCUACCUAUAAGACUGGGAUAACUUCGGGAAACCGGAGCUAAUACCGGAUAAUAUAUUGAACCGCAUGGUUCAAUAGUGAAAGACGGUUUUGCUGUCACUUAUAGAUGGAUCCGCGCCGCAUUAGCUAGUUGGUAAGGUAACGGCUUACCAAGGCAACGAUGCGUAGCCGACCUGAGAGGGUGAUCAGCCACACUGGAACUGAGACACGGUCCAGACUCCUACGGGAGGCAGCAGUAGGGAAUAUUCCGCAAUGGGCGAAAGCCUGACGGAGCAACGCCGCGUGAGUGAUGAAGGUCUUCGGAUCGUAAAACUCUGUUAUUAGGGAAGAACAAAUGUGUAAGUAACUAUGCACGUCUUGACGGUACCUAAUCAGAAAGCCACGGCUAACUACGUG